GGGUGAUUGGAAGUCUGAGGACGUCAACCCAAUUGCAUAAGUUGGGUAUCUGAUGGCUGGAAGUACCUACAAAACCAAUGACAACAAGAAAGAAACCUUGGAACCUGGGAGGUGCUUGUUAUUCUCAGAAACAGGUGGUAGGCCAAACAAUCCAUGUUCUGAAAGCUUGGAUGCUGGUUACAGUUCUAAGGCUGUGUACUUCAACAAGUCAAACUUCAUUUCUCAGAGCCUUGUAACUGUGAGUAUUCAAUCAUUCAUUCACCCAUUUAUCCAUCUCUCAUUCAUAUAUCCACCAAUCACCUGUCCAUUCA
rnacentral:lncRNA from 1 species